rnacentral:rRNA from 1 species
CCUACGGGAGGCAGCAGUGAGGAAUAUUGGUCAAUGGGCGUAAGCCUGAACCAGCCAAGUCGCGUGAGGGAUGAAGGUUCUAUGGAUCGUAAACCUCUUUUAUAAGGGAAUAAAGUGUGGGACGUGUCCUGUUUUGUAUGUACCUUAUGAAUAAGGAUCGGCUAACUCCGCGCCAGCAGCCGCGGUAAUACGGAGGAUCCGAGCGUUAUCCGGAUUUAUUGGGUUUAAAGGGUGCGUAGGCGGCCUUUUAAGUCAGCGGUGAAAGUCUGUGGCUCAACCAUAGAAUUGCCGUUGAAACUGGGAGGCUUGAGUAUGUUUGAGGCAGGCGGAAUGCGUGGUGUAGCGGUGAAAUGCUUAGAUAUCACGCAGAACCCCGAUUGCGAAGGCAGCCUGCCAAGCCAUGACUGACGCUGAUGCACGAAAGCGUGGGGAUCAAACAGGAUUGGAUACCCCAGUAGUC